UGGGGGAAACCUGACCCAGCAACGCCGCGUGAAGGAUGAAGGCCUUCGGGUUGUAAACUUCUGUGACGGGGGACGAGGUAUGACGGUACCCCGAGAGGAAGCCACGGCAAACUACGUGCCAGCAGCCGCGGUAAUACGUAGGUGGCGAGCGUUGUCCGGAAUCACUGGGCGUAAAGGGCGCGUANGCGGCUUGACAAGUCGCAUGUGAAAAACCAGGGCUCAACUCUGGGGGGUCAUGCGAAACUGUUUGGCUUGAGUGCAGUAGAGGGAAGCGGAAUUCCUGGUGUAGCGGUAAAAUGCGU
rnacentral:rRNA from 1 species